rnacentral:lncRNA from 1 species
GCUAAAUAUGCUUUGGACUUUACGCUACAAUCUAAAUUGAGAGAUGGAAAAGAAGUGGCUCUCCACAGCUUGUCCUUGGGAGCUAGGCAAGAUGCAACUGUUCCAAUAGGCUCUAUAAAGAAUCUGGGAGGGGGCAGGGUGAUCUUUCCAUUCCCCAAACCAGGAAGAGCUUUGCUUCUCAGAACUGCUUGGCUGUUGUCUUGUGACUCCCUGAAUAUUUGAGGUUUCACAAGUGCAUCCAGGGAAAGCUCAAAAAGGAUUCACACCUACAAACAAAACAGAAGGGGCUUCAUCGCUAAAGAAGUGCCCACCUCCAAUGCUAAGAAACACAGUGACCAAGGUCUCCUAGCAGGGAGAAAGAGCAUGAAACUGCCUUUGCUCCUUCCUAUGAGUCACCCUCUUUUACUGAGAAGGGACAGAAUGCUUCGUACUAAAGCUGCACAGACUUUGGUGUGGCUUCAGUUUUUCCACCUAUGAUAAAGCAUGGUAUUCCAUGGGACUCUGAUAGCAGAUGCAGUAAACAGAUGUGUUCCAACACAGAAACUGGGUAUGGUGGCAUAUGCCUAUAAUUCAGAAGCCUAGCAUGCAU